GAUGAACGCUGGCGGCGUGCCUAAUACAUGCAAGUCGAGCGAACGGACGAGAAGCUUGCUUCUCUGAUGUUAGCGGCGGACGGGUGAGUAACACGUGGAUAACCUACCUAUAAGACUGGGAUAACUUCGGGAAACCGGAGCUAAUACCGGAUAAUAUUUUGAACCGCAUGGUUCAAAAGUGAAAGACGGUCUUGCUGUCACUUAUAGAUGGAUCCGCGCUGCAUUAGCUAGUUGGUAAGGUAACGGCUUACCAAGGCAACGAUGCAUAGCCGACCUGAGAGGGUGAUCGGCCACACUGGAACUGAGACACGGUCCAGACUCCUACGGGAGGCAGCAGUAGGGAAUCUUCCGCAAUGGGCGAAAGCCUGACGGUGCAACGCCGCGUGAGCGAUGAAGGUCUUCGGAUCGUAAAACUCUGUUAUUAGGGAAGAACAUAUGUGUAAGUAACUGUGCACAUCUUGACGGUACCUAAUCAGAAAGCCACGGCUAACUACGUG
rnacentral:rRNA from 1 species